rnacentral:rRNA from 1 species
AUUGAACGCUGGCGGCAGGCUUAACACAUGCAAGUCGAGCGGAGUGAUGGUGCUUGCACUAUCACUUAGCGGCGGACGGGUGAGUAAUGCUUAGGAAUCUGCCAUUUAGUGGGGGACAACAUUCCGAAAGGAAUGCUAAUACCGCAUACGUCCUACGGGAGAAAGCAGGGGAUCUUCGGACCUUGCGCUAAAUGAUGAGCCUAAGUCGGAUUAGCUAGUUGGUGGGGUAAAGGCCUACCAAGGCGACGAUCUGUAGCGGGUCUGAGAGGAUGAUCCGCCACACGGGGACUGAGACACGGCCCAGACUCCUACGGGAGGCAGCAGUGGGGAAUAUUGGACAAUGGGCGGAAGCCUGAUCCAGCCAUGCCGCGUGUGUGAAGAAGGCCUUUUGGUUGUAAAGCACUUUAAGCGAGGAGGAGGCUACUAGUACUAAUACUACUGGAUAGUGGACGUUACUCGCAGAAUAGGCACCGGCUAACUCUGUGCCAGCCGCCGCAGUAAAAC